rnacentral:rRNA from 1 species
GAGGGGCUGGCCUGCCAAUACCUGCUCGUACAGCGAGCUUGCCUAGAUGAUUUUAGUGCUUGCACUAAAUGAAACUAGAUACAAGCGAGCGGCGGACGGGUGAGUAACACGUGGGUAACCUGCCCAAGAGACUGGGAUAACACCUGGAGACAGAUGCUAAUACCGGAUAACAACACUAGACGCAUGUCUAGAGUUUGAAAGAUGGUUCUGCUAUCACUCUUGGAUGGACCUGCGGUGCAUUAGCUAGUUGGUAAGGUAACGGCUUACCAAGGCAAUGAUGCAUAGCCGAGUUGAGAGACUGAUCGGCCACAUUGGGACUGAGACACGGCCCAAACUCCUACGGGAGGCAGCAGUGGGGAAUAUUGGACAAUGGGGGGAACCCUGAUCCAGCGACGCCGCGUGAGUGAAGAAGUAUUUCGGUAUGUAAAGCUCUAUCAGCAGGGAAGAAAGAAAUGACGGUACCUGACUAAGAAGCCCCGGCUAACUACGUGCCAGCAGCCGCGGUAAUACGUAGGGGGCAAGCGUUAUCCGGAUUUACUGGGUGUAAAGGGAGCGUAGACGGCGAUGCAAGUCUGAAGUGAAAGGCGGGGGCCCAACCCCCGGACUGCUUUGGAAACUGUAUAGCUGGAGUGCAGGAGAGGUAAGUGGAAUUCCUAGUGUAGCGGUGAAAUGCGUAGAUAUUAGGAGGAACACCAGUGGCGAAGGCGGCUUACUGGACUGUAACUGACGUUGAGGCUCGAAAGCGUGGGGAGCAAACAGGAUUAGAUACCCUGGUAGUCCACGCCGUAAACGAUGAUCACUAGGUGUCGGUGGGUAUGGACCCAUCGGUGCCGCAGCAAACGCAGUAAGU